GGUGAAAAGCACCCCGGAAGGGGAGUGAAAUAGAACCUGAAACCGUGUGCUUACAAGUAGUCAGAGCCCGUUAAUGGGUGAUGGCGUGCCUUUUGUAGAAUGAACCGGCGAGUUACGAUUUGAUGCAAGGUUAAGCAGUAAAUGUGGAGCCGUAGCGAAAGCGAGUCUGAAUAGGGCGUUUAGUAUUUGGUCGUAGACCCGAAACCAGGUGAUCUACCCUUGGUCAGGUUGAAGUUCAGGUAACACUGAAUGGAGGACCGAACCGACUUACGUUGAAAAGUGAGCGGAUGAACUGAGGGUAGCGGAGAAAUUCCAAUCGAACCUGGAGAUAGCUGGUUCUCUCCGAAAUAGCUUUAGGGCUAGCCUCAAGUGAUGAUUAUUGGAGGUAGAGCACUGUUUGGACGAGGGGCCCCUCUCGGGUUACCGAAUUCAGACAAACUCCGAAUGCCAAUUAAUUUAACUUGGGAGUCAGAACAUGGGUGAUAAGGUCCGUGUUCGAAAGGGAAACAGCCCAGACCACCAGCUAAGGUCCCAAAAUAUAUGUUAAGUGGAAAAGGAUGUGGCGUUGCCCAGACAACUAGGAUGUUGGCUUAGAAGCAGCCAUCAUUUAAAGAGUGCGUAAUAGCUCACUAGUCGAGUGACACUGCGCCGAAAAUGUACCGGGGCUAAACAUAUUACCGAAGCUGUGGAUUGUCCUUUGGACAAUGGUAGGAGAGCGUUCUAAGGGCGUUGAAGCAUGAUCGUAAGGACAUGUGGAGCGCUUAGAAGUGAGAAUGCCGGUGUGAGUAGCGAAAGACGGGUGAGAAUCCCGUCCACCGAUUGACUAAGGUUUCCAGAGGAAGGCUCGUCCGCUCUGGGUUAGUCGGGUCCUAAGCUGAGGCCGACAGGCGUAGGCGAUGGAUAACAGGUUGAUAUUCCUGUACCACCUAUAAUCGUUUUAAUCGAUGGGGGGACGCAGUAGGAUAGGCGAAGCGUGCGAUUGGAUUGCACGUCUAAGCAGUAAGGCUGAGUAUUAGGCAAAUCCGGUACUCAUUAAGGCUGAGCUGUGAUGGGGAGAAGACAUUGUGUCUUCGAGUCGUUGAUUUCACACUGCCGAGAAAAGCCUCUAGAUAGAAAAUAGGUGCCCGUACCGCAAACCGACACAGGUAGUCAAGAUGAGAAUUCUAAGGUGAGCGAGCGAACUCUCGUUAAGGAACUCGGCAAAAUGACCCCGUAACUUCGGGAGAAGGGGUGCUCUUUAGGGUUAACGCCCAGAAGAGCCGCAGUGAAUAGGCCCAAGCGACUGUUUAUCAAAAACACAGGUCUCUGCUAAACCGUAAGGUGAUGUAUAGGGGCUGACGCCUGCCCGGUGCUGGAAGGUUAAGAGGAGUGGUUAGCUUCUGCGAAGCUACGAAUCGAAGCCCCAGUAAACGGCGGCCGUAACUAUAACGGUCCUAAGGUAGCGAAAUUCCUUGUCGGGUAAGUUCCGACCCGCACGAAAGGCGUAACGAUUUGGGCACUGUCUCAACGAGAGACUCGGUGAAAUCAUAGUACCUGUGAAGAUGCAGGUUACCCGCGACAGGACGGAAAGACCCCGUGGAGCUUUACUGUAGCCUGAUAUUGAAAUUCGGCACAGCUUGUACAGGAUAGGUAGGAGCCUUUGAAACGUGAGCGCUAGCUUACGUGGAGGCGCUGGUGGGAUACUACCCUAG
rnacentral:rRNA from 1 species